rnacentral:rRNA from 1 species
GACAGAGGUGCCAAGCGUUAGGCGGAAUCACUGGGCUUAAAGCGUGUGUAGGCGGAAUUGUAAGUACCUUGUGAAAUCCCACGGCUUAACUGUGGAACGGCUGGGCAUACUGGCGGUCUUGAGCCAUCUAGGGGCGACUGGAACAAACGGUGGAGCGGUGAAAUGCGUAGAUAUCGUUUGGAACGCCAAUGGUGAAAACAGGUCGCUGGGGAUGCGCUGACGCUGAGACACGAAAGCCAGGGGAGCAAACGGG